rnacentral:lncRNA from 1 species
CCCCACCAACGGUGUUCGACGCCCUCGUCGAACCGACACCAUCGGCUUCAGCUUUCCACUUGUCUUGCCACCGUCUUCGAUUGUGCUUGAGCACCAGCACCGUAUCGAAACCCAAAAUAUCCCAAGUCUGAUCCCACGAACAUCCCACAUAUUCUUUCAGCCCUCGGAAAAACGAACGCCAACCACGUUCAAACGGCAGCACCCAACCACAAGUGAAAAUACUAGUUUUUGGCACAACUAGUAUUUUAUCUCGAUUGCCUCUCCAAUCGAGAAAGGAGACUUCCAGCCCACG